UCUUUUUUCCCUUGUGUCUCAACAGAAAUGGGGAAAAAACCCAUCAGUUCUGGUCAAAAAGCAAGUUGUCACUUUGCCGAAGGCUUCGCUCUCCGCUCCGAGGGGGAAAAUAUAGUGACUACCUGGGAGAUCCCACAGAUGUACAGUUUAUCUUCACUGGCAAGCAACUUUCCCCAGUGUAUGUGGGGAGAGGGGAAAGGGGGGAAUCCUGAUACAAGCUGGAGACAGGAGUCCGUGGCCACCAUGUUCAUCACGAGAAUACGGCCUCACCUCCUCUCCGAUGAUCCAAAGUCUUCCUGACAGCGCCCCGGCAUGCAGCCUGCAUGAUGAAUCACACAGAGCGGGUAAACAGUAUUUUUAUUUUUCAUCCUGACUGACAUUCAGCAAUGGCAGAUUGGAUAUGAGUCAUCACUGAGAGAAACAGGAGCAGUGGUAAUGACUGAAGGCCACGGCCCUGUGGGGAACCCAAACCUACUGCAUAUUCACCCCCCUCACCCCCCUCACACCCCCAGCCCUGCAGGCCUGGCACAUGUGUGACAUAUAAUUGAUUCAUUAAUAAUGCGAACAGAUGUUUCUGGUCCAGUCUGGCGUCAUUCCAGCUUGCCAGCAUUUCCCCGCCACAGCUUGCCCAACUGCAUCCUAUUAAAUGCUCAUUGACACAGAAUGGAAAGAAGGUGAUUUAUUUUUAAUCCCAGACCGCGCCAAGGCAUAUAAGUGGUUUAGCCUGGAUUUGUUGUAGAUUUUAUGCAAAAGCUUGACAGGGACAUUUUCGGAACACCGUGCUUUGACUUGAUAGAAAUGGUCAGUUCAUCUGUGAAUUAGCCGAUCAUGCUGAUCGGUGUCUGUCUCAGGAUUUAACUCAGAGGUCUUGAUUAAGGAAUCGACUCAUUAUGUGCUGCAGGUGCUGGACUCAUGUUAACGUUUGUGUAACAAACAGCAUGUCUCCACAGCAAGGCAACACAAAUGGCUCUAAAACUCUUAUUGGUGAGAAUCUGGCAUCUUUUCUGGAAGUGUAUCAUUUGGUGUCAGCGUUGGUCUCAAACCCACAAAUCAUCUCAGAAAAGUAUGGUUGUUUUUUUAUAUGUUCAUGUAAAAAAAAAAAAAACUUGUCAGGUGGGUUUCUGCUGCUUCACGGCUCAGGGAUCUUUAAAAUCAAUCAAUCAUAACCUACUUUAAUUAGAUGGUACGUUCGAACUGCAGCCUGUAAAGUUUUUCACCAAAGAAAAACUUAUGAUCCAGUCUUAUUCGUGGUUUGAAUUAGGUGUGCGAUUGUGGCCCCUAUGACAUGUAGCGACCUGUCCAGGGUGUAUCCUGCCUUCACUCAGGAGUGUCCAGGUUAGGCUCCAGCAUCCCGUGACCUCGAAAGGGACAAAAUGAAAUUAGAAAACAGUUGGAUGGAAUUAGGUAUUUGUGUAUAUUUCAGUUUUCUUGCACUGUUGUCUGUAUUUCUGUCAAUCAUUGGUUGUACAGUUUAGACAGCACAGGUUUCAGUAUAUAGGUGGUUUUUGGAGGUUACCCAGUCUUCACUGCUUCACUUUGUUAAUUUAAAAAAAAAGAAUUUUCAAGUCAAUUUACAAAUGAAUAUAUCAAAUAGAUUUGACAUAUGGAUCAUUUUUUAGUUUAUUAUUGUAUUUUUCCUUGUUUUUUUUUAAUUGCUCAAAAUAAACCAACCAAUUUGGUUACAAGAUAAUCCCAAUGUUGCCAUUUUUAUCUUCAUAAAUGCUAAAUGGUUAUAAAGGGCUUUAGAAAACAGUUUCAUAUAAUCCUCUGAUCAAAGAUUGAUCACUUUACCUCUGCACCACCAUCAUCCC